CCUACGGGAGGCAGCAGUAGGGAAUUUUCCACAAUGGGGGCAACCCUGAUGGAGCAACGCCGCGUGCAGGAUGAAUGCCUUCGGGUUGUAAACUGCUUUUAUAUGUGACGAAUAUGACGGUAGCAUAUGAAUAAGGAUCGGCUAACUCCGUGCCAGCAGCCGCGGUCAUACGGAGGAUCCAAGCGUUAUCCGGAAUUACUGGGCGUAAAGAGUUGCGUAGGUGGCACUGUGUGUCGAUAGUGAAAGCGUGUGGCUCAACCAUAUACACAUUAUCGAAACUGCAGAGCUAGAAGACGAGAGAGGUUACUAGAAUUCCUAGUGUAGGAGUGGAAUCCGUAGAUAUUAGGAGGAAUACCGAUGGCGUAGGCAGGUAACUGGCUCGUUCUUGACACUAAGGCACGAAAGCGUGGGGAGCAAACGGGAUUAGAUACCCCGGUAGUCCACGCCGUAAACGAUGAAUGCUAGCUGUUAUGGGUAUCGACCCCCGUAGUAGCGAAGCUAACGCGUUAAGCAUUCCGCCUGUGGAGUACGGUCGCAAGACUAAAACUUAAAGGAAUUGACGG
rnacentral:rRNA from 1 species